rnacentral:rRNA from 1 species
CCCUUAGAUGUUCUGGGCUGCACGCGCGCUACACUGAUACUUUCAGCGAGUCCACCACCUUGCCUGAGAGGGUGGGGUAACCUCUGGAAAGUGUAUCGUGAUGGGGAUCGAUUAUUGUAAUUAUUAAUCUUCAACGAGGAAUUCCUAGUAAGCAUGUGUCAUCAGCCCGUGCUGAUUACGUCCCUGCCCUUUGUACACACCGCCCGUCGCUCCUACCGAUUGAAUGGUCCGGUGAAGUGUUCGGAUCGCGGCGACGCGAGCGGUCCGCCGCCCGCGACGUCGCGAGAAGUCCACUGAACCUUAUCAUUUAGAGGAAGGAGAAGUCGUAACA